rnacentral:pre_miRNA from 1 species
UUUCAUGGAUGAGCAAUGAAAGUAGUUUCUUCAGAUGGAAUCUAUUCCUGGCGAAAAUGCUGUGAA